rnacentral:lncRNA from 1 species
GAGUGCAGGAACCUUAUUUUACUACAAUAGGAACGACUGAUAUUUGUAAAAAUAAUAAGAACAUAAAUUAAAAAAUACAAUACCGAAACAAACGAAUAAAGAAGAAUUGCAGAGUCGAGAUGAUUAAUCUCUUUCCUUAAAUCUUUAAACGCUCUGUAGUGUGACGGUUUCAUAGCGAUCAAAUUCUCAGAAUACAAUUGCACCAUUCUU